AUUUUGAAAAUGUAAAAGUAAUGAUGUAUUCUUAGCUAACUAGCUACAGUGGAGGCUAACUCAGAUGAGCUGCUAACGUAGCUAGCUAGCUAUCUAGACAAUUUUACAUACUGUACAGCUAGUUAGCUAAGUUAAUUAAAUAUCACCAGCUACCUAACUUCAUAUUAGUUAGCUAUUGUGAUCUAUUUAUCAUUGUAAAAAAAAAAUGCAUUUGUAGGAAGCUAGCUAAGGAUAGCAGCUCCAACUGAAUAGGGCAGGUACUUUGGUGUAGUUCCAGUCUCUAGAAAGGAGUGAGGACAGAGAUGAUAGUAGCACCAUAAUAUUCAGUGCUGUCUAAUUGGAGUAUAAGGAAGUCUGGUUUUUGUUAUGUUUUCUGUCCUCAGCUACAGAGAGCUGUGAACGCCUGUUGUAAUGCAGAUGAAGAGCGGUGGUUCUCAGUCUAGGUCCUGGGGACUCAAAAGGGGUGCACAUUUUUGUUUUUGCUUUAGCACUACACAGCUGAUUCAAAUGAUCAACUCUUCAUCAAGCUUCAAACAGUAUUUAUGUAUUAAUUUUUGAUGCCAUCCUUGAUAUGAACCUUCUGCUGUCAGAUUCUACACAUGCAUCUAUCUAUAUUCUAUGUUAUCAUGAUUUGUUAUAAGAGAUAUUAUACUUUCAGUAAUCCACAAUGACCUGAUGAUGUAAAAGUCUAAUAAUGACAUUAUCUUCCAUAUUCCUACAGAUACCUUGCAACUGGAGAUUCCUCCUAAACAAUUCCCUACAGUUACCGUGUAGGGCACCGCACGAUUGGGUGGCCAGGGCCACCUGGGAAUGCCUCGUGGGGAAAUUCAGGCAUGUGUGAAGGCUACCUGUGUCCUGCAUAACUUCAUGAGGAUGGACACGAGGACCAGGAGGGGACCUGCAGCUUGCCGCCGUGUGCCAGAGGAGAGGUCUGCUGCUCUGCAGGAUGUUGCAAGGAUGGGGGCCAACAAUGCAGCACUGGAGGCAAUCUGUGUGGGAAGGCCUUUACCUCCUACUUCCCUGGCAACACCAUAUACCACACUAUGCAUAACCAAAGGCUCUUUUAAGAGCCACCCACCUUGCAAUAAGAGUAUUCUUCCAUUUACUUAGUAAGCAGGCUCAGGUGUAUGACUGUGGCUCCUUCCACCUUCAAAGAAUAGGCAAGAGGACCAACCAUGGAGAAUAGUUAGAUCAGCUGUGUCGGUGAACCCCUCCUGCUUCCGAACUGCCUGACACAUAGAGGGCACAGCAUGAUCAGAGGUAUGUUUUGGUGUGAGAGAGGAUGCCAAACCCCAGCCCCGUCAUCGCCACCUCACCGACUCUAAAAUAACCCUCUGGCCAACUGGGGGCCCAAGAAUGGUUAGGAGACACUGUUAGAGACACUGUUAUGUAAUUGUGAUGACCUGAGAGAAUGUGUAUUUUCAUUAAUCUGUCUUCCCUGCUCCGGUCUUAUCUCUUUCCCUUUCUGUCUAUUACACUUUCUCUCAUGCCUUUCUCCCCACCUCAUCUUUCUUCCUCUGUUUUUAGAAUGCCCACCAGAUGUGCAUUGAAGUACAGAUUGAACUUAUAUUUAUAAUAUUCCAUAUGUAUAACUUGGAUAAUGAACUUCUUCAAUAAAGCUUUUCACAUUC